rnacentral:rRNA from 1 species
UACGUAGGGUGCAAGCGUUAAUCGGAAUUACUGGGCGUAAAGCGUGCGCAGGCGGUUUUGUAAGACAGGGGUGAAAUCCCCGGGCUUAACCUGGGAACUGCAUUUGUGACUGCAAGGCUGGAGUGCGGCAGAGGGGGCUGGAAUUCCGCGUGUAGCAGUGAAAUGCGUAGAUAUGCGGAGGAACACCGAUGGCGAAGGCAAUCCCCUGGGCCUGCACUGACGCUCAUGCACGAAAGCGUGGGGAGCAAACAGG